GACGAACGCUGGCGGCGUGCCUAAUACAUGCAAGUAGAACGCUGAAGGAGGAGCUUGCUCUUCUGGAUGAGUUGCGAACGGGUGAGUAACGCGUAGGUAACCUGCCUGGUAGCGGGGGAUAACUAUUGGAAACGAUAGCUAAUACCGCAUAACAGUAGAUGUUGCAUGACAUUUGCUUAAAAGGUGCAAUUGCACCACUACCAGAUGGACCUGCGUUGUAUUAGCUAGUUGGUGGGGUAACGGCUCACCAAGGCGACGAUACAUAGCCGACCUGAGAGGGUGAUCGGCCACACUGGGACCGAGACACGGCCCAGACUCCUACGGGAGGCAGCAGUAGGGAAUCUUCGGCAAUGGACGGAAGUCUGACCGAGCAACGCCGCGUGAGUGAAGAAGGUUUUCGGAUCGUAAAGCUCGGUUGUAAGAGAAGAACGAGUGUGAGAGUGGAAAGUUCACACUGUGACGGUAGCUUACCAGAAAGGGACGGCUAACUACGUG
rnacentral:rRNA from 1 species